UACGUAGGGGGCAAGCGUUGUCCGGAUUUAUUGGGCGUAAAGCGCUCGCAGGUGGCCCGAUGCGUCGUGCGUGAAAGACCCCGGCUCAACUGGGGAGUGUCGUGCGAUACGGUCGAGCUGGGGCGCGGUCGAGGGGGAUGGAAUGCCGGGUGUAGUGGUGAAAUGCGUAGAUAUCCGUUGGAACGCCGGCGGCGAAAGCGAGCCACUGGGCCUGUCCUGACACUGAGAUGCGAAAGCGUGGGGAGCAAACAGG
rnacentral:rRNA from 1 species